AAUGGGGGUUCCGGUGCCGCGCAGGUUCCGGCGACUAAGGCGGCAAAAUGGAGGAGACGCCUCACAACUGCCCCGGAACUGGCAGCGCCCAGGCCGGCCGAGGGACCGCCUGUCAGGGGUGCCCCAACCAGCGGCUGUGCGCUUCAGGCGCCGGCGAGGGUCCGGACCCAGCCAUAGAGGAAAUCAAAGAGAAAAUGAAGACCGUGAAACACAAAAUCUUGGUGUUGUCUGGGAAAGGCGGCGUUGGGAAAAGCACGUUCAGCGCCCACCUUGCUCACGCCCUAGCGGAGGAUGAAAACACGCAGGUUGCUCUUCUAGACAUCGAUAUAUGUGGGCCGUCCAUUCCCAAGAUAAUGGGAUUGGAAGGAGAACAGGUGCACCAGAGUGGCUCGGGCUGGUCUCCAGUGUUCCUGGAAGACAACCUGGGGGUGAUGUCAGUGGGUUUCUUACUCAGCAGCCCCGACGACGCUGUCAUCUGGAGAGGACCCAAGAAGAACGGCAUGAUCAAGCAGUUCCUCCGCGAUGUGGACUGGGGAGAGGUCGACUACCUCAUCGUGGACACCCCCCCUGGGACGUCGGACGAGCACCUCUCGGUCGUCCAGUACCUGGCCGCCGCGCGCAUCGAUGGCGCCGUGAUCAUCACCACCCCUCAGGAGGUGUCCCUGCAGGAUGUCCGGAAAGAAAUCAGCUUCUGUCACAAGGUGAAGCUGCCCAUCAUCGGGGUGGUGGAGAACAUGAGCGGCUUCGUCUGCCCCAAGUGCAAGAAAGAGUCUCAGAUAUUCCCACCCACAACGGGGGGUGCAGAGGCCAUGUGCCAGGACCUGAAGAUACCGCUCCUCGGCAAAGUGCCCCUGGACCCGCACAUAGGUGGGGAAGAGUUGUGAUGAAGGACGGUCUUUUUUGGUUGACACGCCGGAUUCACCAGCUACGGUAGCCUACAGAAGUAUCAUUCAAAUGACUCCGGCUCCGUAUUCCUAAGAAUGUAUCAGCAGUUCCAGCCAGAGCACCUCUUCGCUCAAAUCGACCACCUGCAUCAGGACAGCCACCACCCGGGCGCAGCGGCAUCACAGGGGGGCCUCACCUUCACAGACCAGAAGUCGAAGGACAGAAGGAGGAGCACGGUGACGAAGCAGCCCACAAAGCUUCUGCUGAACCAGUCGCAGCCCACGUAAGUGACGAUGGCGCUCACUCGGAAGAACAGGUGGAAGAAGGUGGCCAAGGGGUGCCUAGGAAAGAGCCCAGGAGGCCCCUCACUCCAUGGUGUCUGACUUCCCACGCUCUCCCUGGCACAUUUCACACCAAACUCAGCCGGGCUGCAGCUCCAGGGGCGGGCAGCCCUAAAUUAGAAGGCCCGAGACAGUCAGCACUGUAGUCAAUUUCUUCCCCUCUUGAAGAAUCCCGUACUUUCCCCUCUUUUGAUGACAAACAUCACUUGCCCUCUUUGAAACUGGGUCACCUUUGAAGUGAAGUGUGACCGUGGUCACUCACUGCCUUCCCACCUAGCAGCAGCAGUGACUAGUUCCCUAAAACAAAGGUUGGGCUAUUACCCAGUCGUGGAGCAGUGGGUCCACGUGCCGCUCAUGGGUGCUGUCUCGAGUCAUCGGGGAAUGCAUGUUCCUGGAUAGAGGGAAAUGAGAGUGAUGUGCCAACGACAGGUCUAACUCGUGAUUGCUCAUGACGAGUGGGACUUAAAUGAUGGAAUGGAGCCUAGGGGGAGACGGGUUUUGUUCACUGAGCCCCGAGGCACAAAAGAAGACACAGAACCAAGGGGAAUGUGCUCAUCCUACAUCAAAUGCUUCAAAAGUGUAUCUGGAAGAUGAGAGACCUGAGGGUAACCAAUAACGAGGGACAUUUGUCGGAGCAGAUAGAUAACAAAUGCCUGUAGGGGUCAGGCAGGCGACAGCCGUGGGAGACAUGGGGCAGGCAGAAGAGAAGACACUCAUGGCUUUCUAUUUAUUUUGUUAGGAAUCCACUUUUGAUAGAGCUCAGGUAGAGAUAAACACUCGAUCAAGAUCAAGAAAGCAACAGUGCAGGGCCAAUGAUGAUGGCAAUGAAAGUGCCAUCCAUUGCUAGGGAGGCGGGGGGCAGGCCUCCCUCCAGGGCAGGGGACUGCACUCUGCACAUCUACCCUUGUACUGCCAGAUUCAACAUUUCACAAGAAGCUAGAAAUCCA